GGCUUGGUAGCGCUGGGAGCGCGUCUGCCUCUGCUGGAUUUGCCCGCGUAUUUGUAAUGCAGAAGGUGCCCGUUCGACUCGGGCUUGAGCCA